GACGAACGCUGGCGGCGUGCCUAAUACAUGCAAGUCGAACGCACAGUUUAUACCGUAGCUUGCUACACCAUAGACUGUGAGUUGCGAACGGGUGAGUAACGCGUAGGUAACCUGCCUGGUAGCGGGGGAUAACUAUUGGAAACGAUAGCUAAUACCGCAUAAUAUUGAUUAUUGCAUGAUAAUUGAUUGAAAGAUGCUAUUGCAUCACUACCAGAUGGACCUGCGUUGUAUUAGCUAGUAGGUGAGGUAACGGCUCACCUAGGCGACGAUACAUAGCCGACCUGAGAGGGUGAUCGGCCACACUGGGACUGAGACACGGCCCAGACUCCUACGGGAGGCAGCAGUAGGGAAUCUUCGGCAAGGGACGAAAGUCUGACCGAGCAACGCCGCGUGAGUGAAGAAGGGUUUCGGAUCGUAAAGCUCUGUUGUAAGAGAAGAACGGGGGUGAGAGUGGAAAGUUCACACUGUGACGGUAGCUUACCAGAAAGGGACGGCUAACUACGUG
rnacentral:rRNA from 1 species